GUAUUCUUCCUUCAAGACAGCACAGCAGGCCUAUAGAAUAUAUUUUGAAGUUUGUCCUGGAAGAUGAGCUUCAUUGAAUAGAUGCAUAUUCUGUAGAAGAGAAAAUGCCUUUUGUUAGACAUCUGAACGAAGUCCAGAGGAUCAUCUCUACACAAUGACUCUCAGAUGCAAAGGAAAAUCUUCGACCUCUUCUUUUAGCACCUGUUAAAAGGUUCGGACUUCUGGGAUGUUCUUGACAUCAACCUGCAAAAAGACCACAGCUUGGAGGGACACCUGCCCUUUUACCACCAGCUAUUCGUGUUAAACCAGUGCAGUACCAACAGAGAGCUUCAGCUACGAAGACACUGACAGCAGAGAACAGUGGAAGUCCUGUAACCACCAUCACACCCUCUGUCACCUGUGAGAAAUUAAAAAUUUAAAAAGGCUUUUCCAUUAAAACAAAUGCUCAUGAAUGUCACUGCUGCACCUUUGUGAUUUUAAAUUCAAGUUGUAAACAGUCACAGAAUAAAGUUGUGUGUUUUACACA
rnacentral:lncRNA from 1 species